rnacentral:rRNA from 1 species
GUGAGGAAUAUUGGUCAAUGGGCGGGAGCCUGAACCAGCCAAGUCGCGUGAAGGAAGAAGGAUCUAUGGUUCGUAAACUUCUUUUGCAGGGGAAUAAAGUGCAGGACGUGUCCUGUUUUGUAUGUACCCUGAGAAUAAGGAUCGGCUAACUCCGUGCCAGCAGCCGCGGUAAUACGGAGGAUCCGAGCGUUAUCCGGAUUUAUUGGGUUUAAAGGGUGCGUAGGUGGUUUGAUAAGUCAGCGGUGAAAGUUUGCAACUUAACUGUAAAAAUGCCGUUGAAACUGUCGGACUUGAGUGUAAAUGAGGUAGGCGGAAUGCGUGGUGUAGCGGUGAAAUGCAUAGAUAUCACGCAGAACUCCGAUUGCGAAGGCAGCUUACUAAGCUACAACUGACACUGAAGCACGAAAGCGUGGGGAUCAAACAGGAUUAGAUACCCUAGUAGUCC